rnacentral:lncRNA from 1 species
CAUUGGUAGUUUCAAAGCGCGGAAGAAGAUGGAUAUCAGUUGCUUUUCUAUUAAUUUCAGUGUGCAACUGUUGGGCCAUAUCUCAGUCGGCUUCUUAGACAGAUUUCUCUUAAUCCAAAGGAGGUUAGUCAGAUUAAUAAAACUUUAAUUACUUGAAUUCCAAAGGUUGAUAAUGCUUCUGGUCUUAGUCAAUUUCGGC